UAUUGGUCAAUGGGCGGGAGCCUGAACCAGCCAAGCCGCGUGAGGGAAGAAGGUACAGCGUAUCGUAAACCUCUUUUGUCAGGGAACAAAGGCGGGGACUAGUCCCCGGAUGAGGGUACCUGAAGAAAAAGCAUCGGCUAACUCCGUGCCAGCAGCCGCGGUAAUACGGAGGAUGCGAGCGUGAUCCGGAUUUAUUGGGUUUAAAGGGUGCGCAGGCGGCCUGUUAAGUCAGCGGGAAAAGCCCGGGGCUCAACCCCGGCGAGCCGUUGAAACUGGCGGGCUGGAGUUGGAGAGAAGUACGCGGAAUGCGCGGCGUAGCGGUGAAAUGCUUAGAUAUCGCGCAGAACCCCGAUUGCGAAGGCAGCGUACCGGCUCCACACUGACGCUGAGGCACGAAAGCGUGGGUAUCGAACAGG
rnacentral:rRNA from 1 species